AACUAAAUUAAAAUUGUUCCAAACUAAAUAAAAUAUCUUUUUAUCCAACAAUAUAAUAAUCAUCAUGCUCAUUUAUUAAACCUAAAAUCUCAUAAUCCACCAAACAUAUUCGAUUAUCUUCAUAGGACACAAUCACCUAACUAAAGGCAACUAAAAUCUCAUAAAUCAAAGAGAUUUUUGGUUAAAGAUAACAGUCACCUAAUUAAAUUCAAUUUUUUUCAAACUAAAUUAAAUAUCUAUUUAUGCACCAAUGUAAUAAUCACCAUUCUCAUCUACUAAACCUAAAAUCUCAUAAUCCAACAACCAUCAUUGGCUAUAUUCUCAAGACAGAAUCACCUAACUAAAUACACCUAAUCUCAUGAUCACUCGUCAAAUUAAAUAUCUGAUUAUCUACCAAUAUAAUAAUCACCAUGCUCAUUUCCAUACCUAAAAUCUCAUAAUCCACCAACAUUUUGACUUUCUCAAGACACAAUCACCUAACUAACUUCACCUAAAAUCAAAUAAAUCACCAAAAAUUUUGGUUGAAUAUCACAAUCACCGAACUAAAUCCAAAUUGUUCAAGAUUAAUUAAUCCANNAAACAUCUUUGACUAUUCCCUCAAGAUCUCAAUCAACUAAUUAGAUACGUUUAAAAUCUCCUAUUUCACCAUGAAAUUUGGUUAAAGAUCACAAUCGCCUAACUAAAUCCAAAUUAGGCCAAGUUUACUAAUAAUCCAUCUAUCCAUCAAUAUAAUAACCACCAAGCUCACCUACUAGACAUAAAUUCUCACAUAAUCCACCGAACAUCUUUGACUAUCUCACCAAGAUCAUAGUCAACUAAAUAAAUCCAACCCAAACAUCAAAAUACACUGUGAAUUUGGUUAAAAGUUCACGAUCACCUAACUAAAUUCGAAUUGUUUCAAACUAAAUGCAAGGUCAGUUUAUCCACCAAUAUAAUAAUCACCACGCUCAUGUACUAGGCUUAAGAUCUCAAAAUCCACCAAACAUCUUUGACCAUCUUCUCAAGAUCAUAAUAACUUAUCUAAAUCCACAUAAAUCAUCAUGAAACUCGAUUCAAUAUCGCAAUAGCCUAACUAAAUUCAAAUUGUUCAAGAUUAAUUAAUCC
rnacentral:lncRNA from 1 species